rnacentral:rRNA from 1 species
GUGGGAGUGGCUGCUGCAGUUUGCCGAGAUUCAAAUGGCAACUUUCUUGGCUCGUCAGCGGUUGUGUUUGGAGGCAUCAGAGACCCAAUGAUUCUGGAGACAUACGCUUGCCGGGAGGCUCUAUCUUUGGCUGAAGAUUUGCACGAGCAGAAUAUCAUGGUGGCCUUAGAUUAUUAAGGUGUGGUGCAAGAUGUCAAUGAAGGGACAGGAGGUCCCAAUGCGGCUGUUAUACAUGAAAUAAUAGACCGCGGAGCAAGUUUUUCUUCUUGCUUGUUUCUGUUUGAGCGCAUGAAGUUUAAUUUUGAGGCUCAUAAUCUCGCUAAAUUUGCAUGUAAUUUAGAUAUAGGUAGGCAUGUUUGGUUGGGCACUCCGCACGACCCAAACCGUGUAGCUAUGAACAUUGUCAUGAAUCAAUAA